rnacentral:rRNA from 1 species
AUGAACGCUGGCGGCGUGCCUAAUACAUGCAAGUCGAACGGGGAUUUCAGUAAUGAGGUCCUAGUGGCGAACGGGUGAGUAACGCGUUGGUGACCUGCCCCGAAGAGAGGGAUAACAGACCGAAAGGUUUGCUAAUACCGCAUAAGCUCGAGCUAGUCAGAGAGGCUUGAGGAAAGGCCGAAAGGCGCUUUGGGAGGGGCCUGCGUCCCAUCAGCUAGUUGGCGAGGUAAAAGCUCACCAAGGCGAUGACGGGUAGGGGACCUGAGAGGGUGACCCCCCACAAUGGAACUGAAACACGGUCCAUACACCUACGGGUGGCAGCAGUAGGGAAUAUUGGUUAAUGGGCGAAAGCCUGACCCAGCAACGCCGCGUGCGCGAUGAAGGCCUUCGGGUUGUAAAGCGCUUUUAAGUGGGAUGAGGAAGGACAGUACCACUAGAAUAAGUCUCGGCUAACUACGU